rnacentral:rRNA from 1 species
GACGAACGCUGGCGGCGUGCCUAAUACAUGCAAGUCGAGCGCAGGAAACUGACGGAACUCUUCGGAGGGAAGGCAGUGGAAUGAGCGGCGGACGGGUGAGUAACACGUAAGGAACCUGCCUCAAGGAUUGGGAUAACUCCGAGAAAUCGGAGCUAAUACCGGAUAGUUCAACGGACCGCAUGGUCCGCUGAUGAAAGGCGCUCCGGCGUCACCUUGAGAUGGCCUUGCGGUGCAUUAGCUAGUCGGUGGGGUAACGGCCCACCAAGGCGACGAUGCAUAGCCGACCUGAGAGGGUGAUCGGCCACACUGGGACUGAGACACGGCCCAGACUCCUACGGGAGGCAGCAGUAGGGAAUCUUCCACAAUGGACGAAAGUCUGAUGGAGCAACGCCGCGUGAGUGAUGAAGGUUUUCGGAUCGUAAAACUCUGUUGUAAGGGAAGAACACGUACGAGAGGAAAUGCUCGUACCUUGACGGUACCUUACGAGAAAGCCACGGCUAACUACGUGCCAGCCGCCGCGGUAA